UUUUCACUUGGGAGUUUCUGUCAAGUUAUCAUUUUAAUGUAUAAUAUAACCAUAUUUAAAGGUAGUCUGACAUUAUCAGGCAUGCUUUGUAGUGGUAAGAAACAAUUAGCAUCAAUUUUUGCUCAUGUUACAGCAGAUACGAUUGGAAAUUUCUUUCAAGUGAACUGAAUAUAUCA